AUGGUUUAUAUGAAUGGUUAGUGAUGCCUUUUGGCUUAACUAAUGCACCUAGCACAUUUAUGAGAUUGAUGAACCAUGUUUUGUGUGAUUACCUAGGUAAGUUUGUGGUUGUGUACUUUGAUGAUAUAUUGAUUUAUAGCCGAAACCAUGAUGAUCAUAUUAGGCAUGUUGAACUUGUUCUACAAAAGUUGCGUGAACAUGAAUUGUAUGCUAAUUGAUAGAGCAUAUUUUAGUCCAUAUUAUCAUGAUCUUAUUGAUGUUUAUUUACGCCUUUCCUACCUAAUUUUGUGGUUUUAAUCAUGUUUUGAAGAUAUUAGGUGUAAAGAGACAUUCUGAAGAAAAUGCUCGUAAAACUGCCAAAAAGUGCCAAAAAUAGAAAAGUCACCUUCGGAAGCACUUUCGGAAGCCGAAAGUCUGGUCCAGAGCUGAAAGUCACCCAUCUUCGGAGGCACCUUCGGCCGCCGAACCUUCACUCCAGAGCCGAAAGUCCAGCCUCCGAAACUAGACUUAGGCGGCCGAAAGUCCCUCCGAACAGCCUCCUCCUUAUUCAAUAAGCCAAAUCUUGAAGAUCACAUGUUUUCCACUUUAUGCCAUGCACAUUCAAAAUUCAAAUCAAUGCUCCACCUUCCUCUUUAGUGCAUGAAUAAUGUGAAGAAGGCUUCUUGGACACACUUGGACAGCAAUUAAAAGGCCAAAAAGGGCUUGCAACUCCACACAUGCACAUAGAAGACACAAGGGCACUUUGGGCAGCCUCUAAAAGAUUCAUGGAACCCUAGGCAGCCUCUCAAGACAUAUUUAAGAUCCUUAUGAAGGCAAGAUAAGGUAGAUUUUGAUCUACACAACUCCUCCAAGGUUCGGCCAAGGCUCUCCAAGGCUUCUCCCCCUUGGUUCUUCAUCUUCUUGCUUUCUUUUCUUUUAUUUUCUGUUUUGGUUCAGCCAUGAGUGGCUGAAACCCUUAAUUCUAGUUGAAGUUUGGUUGAAACUAAGGUUAUUUAAAGGGUUGUGAGAUUUGAACAUAAAGUGUUUGCUUUUGGUUUGUUCAAUAUUCAUGCAAUUGUGUGCUCAAAUCUAAGAUUGCUUUGUUGUUUUGAUCAAAUUGGCCACUUGAUUCUUAAUUGCAAAGUUAAUUGAUUGUUAGUUGGGAUGUUUGUUAGUCCGUAAUUGUUGGAAAUAUUCUGACCUAAGAACACUUGGUGUAAAAACUAAGGAAUUGUAUGAUCUAGCAACAUCUCAUGCGGUUAAGCAGCUAGGGUUGGAUCUCUCUCUUUCUUCAUGCAAUUGACAAUUGUUUUGAUGCCUAAGGCCCAAGGACGUUCCUUGGCAAUUUGUUAAUUAGUAAUUGAUUAGAGGACGUUCCCUAAUUGAUUUAAUCAUAAGGAGAGAUAUGGUGGUAAGAAGCGUUUUCCAUCCCCAUAACUAAUCUAUUGAACCAAUCAAGAAAACAUAAGUUUCAAUGAUCAACCCAAACAACCAAAGUGGAUCCAUAUCUUCAACUAGACUUUUCUCAUAUUGAUUUCCUCAUUUAUUUUAAUUACUUGCUGUUUUAAUUGUUUUCAAUAGUUGUUAGUCAAAUCAUCUCAAAACCCCCCUUUUUACUUUUAUUGCACUUUACUUUCAUUCAGCUUUCAAUUACUUGCUUUCAAUUGUGUUUUCACUUAGUUCUCUUGGUCUUGAUUGAGAAAAAUAAAUAGGUAAUCAAUUCUCUGUGGAUUCGAUCCUUCACCACUAUCUACAGUUGUAAAUUGUUGAUAACCAAGAAGGUUAUUUUUGACCAGCUUCGACAACCGCGAGUCAAAAAUUGGUGCCGCUGCCGGGGAAUUGAUUUAACUUGUUUAUUUUUCUUUCAUGACAAGAUCUGAACACAGGGACACUCUGCCCUUUGAUCCAGAAAUUGAACGCACCCUCAGAAGAUUAGGAAAGCAAGCUGCCGAGCAUUCUGCCCAACCUUCGGCCGUCGAACCUUCCUUGCUCCAGCAACCGAAUUUUGCACCAAUGGCAGAACCAAAUGCACAAGCUACUGCCCCUAAUGGACAUGCUGUCCAGAACCAAAUAAUCCAAGAAAAUCCAGUCAUGAGACCUCAAGUGCCAAGGGAAAGAACCAUGAGAGAGUUAGCAACACCUAUAGGUGAUCAAGCACCUCUUUGCAUCACCUAUCCACCUCUUACAAUCCCCUUUGAACUUAAGACAAGUUUGAUUCAUCUUCUUCCUAAAUUUUGAGGUAGAGAGAAUGAAAAUCCACACAAGCACUUGAAAGAAUUUAAUAUUGUUUGUUCAUCUAUGAGACCUCAAGGGAUCUCUGAAGAUCAUGUUAAAUUAAGAGUUUUUCCCUUUUCAUUAGAUGACUUUGCUAAAGAUUGGUUGUUUUAUUUGCCACCUGGAUCUAUAACUUCUUGGGAUGAUAUGGUCCAAACCUUUCUAGACAAAUACUUCCCACCAUCUAAAUCAAUUGGCAUAAUAAGAGAAAUUACUAGCAUAAGACAGAAACAAACGGAGGACUUAUAUGAUUAUUGGGAAAGGUUUGAAAGACUAUGUACAGGUUGUCCACAAUAUGAUAUGUCAGACAGGUCUCUCAUACAGUUCUUCUAUGGAGGAUUGCUCCCAUCAGAAAGAAAAUUCAUAAAUGUAGCUUGUGGAGGAUCCAUUGCAGACAAGACACCAAGGGAGAUGAAAGAGUUGAUAUCUACCCUUGCAGCCUCGUCUAGGCAAUAUGCAGAAGAAAAAAAACUGCAUAGAGCCAAUGAGGUAAGUUCCUCCACUAUUUCUGAACUAACAUCUGUGAUGAAAGAUUUUGCCAUAGGACUGGUUCAACAGAUUCAAGCAACCCAGCCACCUAGGCCAUGUGGCAUCUGUUCAUAUGUAGGACAUCCAACUGAUCAAUGUCCUACACUCCAAGAAGACCCCCAGCAAGCAAAUGCCAUUGGAGGGUACAAUAACCAGCCCAGACAUGAUCCGUACUCAAACACUUACAAUCCAGGUUGGAGAGACCACCCCAAUUUCAGCUAUGGAAUGGCCAACAACACCCAGAACUACCAAAGAAAUCAAGCCCAACAAGCACCUCAGAACUCCAACCAGAGCCUUGAAAAGAUGAUGGAAACACUGAUAAACACCAUGCAAGGCGUACAACAGGACCUAGGACAAAUGGCCACCUCCAUAAAUAGAAUCAAAACCCAAGGUAAGCUCCCUUCUCAAACUGAAACUAAUCCCAGACAGAAUGUCAGUGCUAUUACUUUGAGAAGUGGAAAAGAGCUUCAAGAUGCCAGAUAUGAGGAAGAAAAGCAAGUUGCACAAGAGCCUACCCCAUCUGAAACCACCCUUGCGCAAUCUGCGCAACCCCAUCUCCAUGAGCUAGCCUCUCCAGCGCAAUCUGAAACAUCACCUGUGCAAAAGACUGAACCAAAGGUAUGUUUUCACAUUCUACCUCCUUUUCCAAAAAGAUUUGAAAGAACACAAAAAGAAAAAGAAGAAAAGGAGAUACUUGAGACUUUCAAAAAGGUGGAAAUCAAAAUACCUUUGCGAGACGCUGUCAAGCAAAUUCCAAGGUACACAAAAUUUCUGAAAGAGUUGUGUACCAAUAGAAGAAAGCUAGCUGUAAGAGAGAAAGUAAGUGUAGGUGAGGUUGUCACUACUGUCAUUAAAAGAGAGCUCCUUACCAAGUGCAAGGACAAAGGUAUGUUUGCAAUUUCUUGUAAGAUAGGAAAUGUUGGAAUCAAGAAAGCUAUGUGUGAUCUUGGUGCUUCUAUAAAUGUUAUGCCUCUCUCCAUCUAUAAAUCUCUAAAUGCAUGUGCUCUAAAAGACAUAAGAGUUGUGAUCCAAUUAGUUGAUAGAUCUGUGGUAUAUCCAUUAGGUGUCCUAGAAGAUGUGUUAGUUCAAGUAGAUGAACUUAUCUUUCCUGCUGAUUGACAGUGCGGUUGUCGAAGCCGAUCAAAAAUAACCUUUCUGGUUAUCAACAAUUUACAACUGCAGAUAGUGGUGAAAGGAUCGAAUCCACAGAGACUUGAUUACCUAUUUAUUUUUCUCAAUCAAGACCAAGAGAACUAAUUGAAAACACAAUUGAAAGCUGAAUGAAAGUAAAGUGCAAUAAAAGUAAAAAUGGGGGUUUUGAGGUUGAUUUGACUAACAACUAUUGAAAGCAAUUAAAAUAGCAAGUAAACAAAAUAAGAGAGGAAAUCAAUAUGAAAAAGGUAUAGUUGAAGAUAUGGAUCCACUUUGGUUGUUUGGGUUGAUCAUUGAAACUUAGGUUUUCUUGAUUCAUUCAAUAGAUUGGUUAUGGAGGUAGAAGACGCUUCUCACCACCAUGUCUCUCCUUAUGAUUAAAUCAAUUAGGGAACGUCCUCUAAUCAAUUACUAAUUAACAAAUUGCCAAGGAACGUCCUUGGGCCUUAGGCAUCAAAACAAUUAUCAAUUGCAUAAAGAAUGAGAGAGAUCCAAUCCUAGCUACUCAAACGCAUGAGAUGUUGCUAGAUCAUGCAAUUCCUUAGUUUUUACACCAAGUGUUCUUAGGUCAGAAUAUUUUCAGCAAUUACGGACUAACAAAUAUUCCUACCAACAAUCAAUUAACUUUGCAAUCAAGAACCAAGAGGCCAAUUUGAUCAAAACAACAAAGAAAUCUUAGAAUUAAGCACACAAUUGCAUGAAUAUUGAACUAAUCAAAAGCAAACACUUUAUGUUCAGAUCUCACAACCUUUUAAAUAACCUUAGUUUCAACCAAACUUCAACUAGAAUAAGGGUUUCAGCCACUCAUGGCUGAACCAAAAUAAAAAAUAAAAGAAAAGAAAGCAAGAAGAUGAAGAACUAAAGGGAAGAACCCUUGGAGAAGCCUUGGCGAAUCCUUGGAGAAGUUGUGUGGAACAAAAUCUGCCUCUUCAUGUCUUCUUGAAGCCUUUAAAUAGGACUUGAGAGGCUGCCUAGGGUUUCUUGGUUGCCCAAAAUGCCCUUGGUCCAAUAUGUGUAUGUGAAGGCAAGAGAAGGGCUUUUUGGUCUUUUAAUUGCUCAAGGUGUGUUCAAGAAGCCUUCUUCACAUUAUUCAUGCACUAAAGAGGAAUGUGGAGCCUUGAUUUGAAUAUUGAAUGUGCAUGGCAUAAAGUGGGAAACAUGUGAUCUUCAAGAUUUGGCUUAUUGAACAAGGAGGAGGCUGUUCGGGGGCACUUUCGGCCGCCUAAAGUAAGUUUCAGAGCAGGACUUUCGGCUCUAGACGCAAGGUUCGGCCGCCGAAGGAGCUGCCGAAGAUAGGUGACUUUCGUCUCUGGAGUGAAGGUUCGGCCGCCGAAGGUACUGCUGAAGGUGGCUUUUCUAGAUUUGGCACUUUUUGGCAUUUUUAAGAGCAUUUUCUCCAAAUUGCUUCUUUACACCUAAUACUUGCAAAACAUGAUUAAAACCACAAAAUUGGGUAGAAUAGGUGCAAAUAGAUAUCAAUAAUAUCAUGAUAAUAUGGACUAAAAUAUGCUCUAUCACUGAUUUCUAUGUGAUUGAUACUAAAGAAAAUAGUUGCAAUGCUAGUUCUGAUAUCCUUCUUGGGCGUCCUUUCUUGAGUACUGCUAUAACUAAAAUUGAUGUACAUGAUGGUACUUUAACCAUGGAGUUUGAAGGAGAAGUGAUUAAAUAAAAUGUCAAUGAUGCCAUGAAAUAUCCACAUGAUAUGUCCCCUGUUUAUGGUCUUCAUAUUGUUGACUGUUUGAGUUAAGAAAUUUUUGAUGAAAACCAAGACGAUAUUCUUAACAAUGAUUUCUACCAAGAAACUGAUCAGGUACAAAUUGAGAGCCAGAAAGAGACUGUUUGCAGCAUCCAGCAGAUUGAUGUUGCGCAAGCUGAAGCCAACUUUCGGCCGCCGAAUCCAGUCCCCUUUCGACCGCUGAACCCUACUGACUUGCAAACACCGAAUUCUGCUUUGCAAACUGAGACCGACGCACUGACUGAAGACACUUUUCAGCCGCCGAACACAGGCAAUCUUUGGCCGCCGAAUCCGACUACCUUUCAGACGCCGAAUUUUUCCUCUCCGCCUACAGCACAUAUUGAAGCCAUGAGCUCUCGGCCUCCGAACUCAACUGACUUUCGGCCGCCGAACCUUGUUCCACAGCCUCCGACGCAAGCAAGCUCUUUCAGCCCACCUCCUUUGCAGUCAAACUAAGAACAGUACCUUCCAGAUUCUGAAGAGUGUAAGCAUGAUCUCCUUGAACAAAUCUUCCUUGCUCAAUCUGAUGAGCCAUGGUACGCAGAUAUGGUAAACUACUUGGCCACAGGUAACUUGCCUUCUAACAUGCCAAAGCACACUAAAGAUAAGAUAAAGAAAGAUGCCAAAUACUGUGUUUGGGAUGAGCCAUAUUUGUGGAAAUAUUGUGCUGACCAAAUGAUAAGGAGAUGCAUUCCUGAUCAAGAAAUAGCUUCUGUACUUACUUUUUGUCAUUCAUAUAGUUGUGGAGGACACUUUGGUCCAACGAAAAUUGCUCAUAAGAUACUUGAAAGUGGCCUAUUUUGGCCCACUAUUUUUUGAGAUGCUUUUCUGUUUUGCAGAUCAUGUGCUAGGUGCCAACAAACUGGAAAUCUGAGCAAAAGAAAUCAAAUGCCACAGAACCCCAUCAUGGUCUGUGAGGUAUUUGAUGUUUGGAGCAUAGACUUCAUGGGCCCAUUCCCACCAUCUUUUGGAUACACUUACAUCAUCCUUGCAGUGGAUUAUGUGUCCAAAUGGGUGGAAGCUAGAGCUACUAAGACUGAUGAUGCCAAGGCAGUGGUAAACUUUGUGAAGACCAACAUCUUUGCCAGACAUGGAGUGCCAAAGGCAAUCAUCAGUGAUAGAGGGACCCAUUUUUGCAAUAGGGUAGUGGAAAACCUUCUCAGAAAGCACAAUGUGAUCCAUAGAACAUCCAUAGCCUACCACCCUCAGACAAAUGGGCAAGCUGAAGUAUCCAACAGAGAGAUCAAAGCCAUCCUUGAAAAAACCGUGUCUCCUAACCAAAAGGAUUGGAGUACAAGGUUAGAAGAUGCUUUAUGGGCCUCCAGAACAGCCUACAAGACCCCCAUAGGUAUGUCUCCCUAUAGAUUGGUCUAUGGGAAAGCUUGUCACCUUCCAGUCGAACUUGAGCAUAAAGCCUAUUGGGCUGUAAAGAUUUGCAACAUGGACCUCAAGGAAGCUGGCCACCAUCACAAAUUGCAACUGCAAGAGCUAGAGGAAAUAAGACGAGAUGCAUAUGAGAACUCUUGGAACUACAAAACAAAAACCAAAGCCUCCCAUGACAGUCAUCUUUCAAGAAAACAAUCUAAGGUUGGUGAUAAAGUCUUACUCUUUGACUCUCAUUUGAAAUUAUUUCCAGGAAAGCUACGGUCUAGAUGGAUUGGACCAUUCAUUGUAGAACAUGCCUACCCACAUGGAGCUGUAGACAUCAAAAGCAUAGAAACUGGAAAAAUCUUCAAAGUGAAUGGACAUCGUCUGAAACCAUACUUUGAAGGAUUUGCAGUACAAGUGGUGAAAGAAAUUCUACUACAACAUCACUCCGCCUAAGUAAUCAUGCCAUGCACGCCACACCCCAGGGAAGUAUUCAGAUUCCUUUGUUCUCUUCUUUUCUUUUACAUUGAGGACAAUGCAUGAUUUAAGUGUGGGGGUGCAUACUUCUUCUUUCUUCUUCUCCUCUUCUUCUUCUUCUUCUCCCUUCUUCCUCUCAGAUUUCUGCGAAUGCUUUCAGAUGCAAAUUUUUUUUUCUUUUCCCUUUCAGUUCUGCGAUUUGCUUAGUUCUGAAUAGCCACAGUUUAAUUUCUUUUCAAUUUCUUUCUUUUUUCAUUUAUGCUUUCAACAAUACACACACAACCACAACCUUCUUCUUCUUUUUGUUUUGCUCUACUCAAACUGAUGAACUAGGUUGAAUGAGUUUUUCUUUCCAUGACCCCAUUGAUGUGAUGACUCUUUAAACUUAUGUUGAAUCAAUUGCAGUGAGUUAUAUUCAUAUUUGAGAAUUGCCUUUUGAAUUGAAUCUUUGAGUUUGCCAUGGUGAAAAAUAUAUUGAUGACCCUCAAUUGAUGAGAAUAAAUUGAAAGUUGUGUGAAUGAACUUAAUGUGACUUGAUUUAGCAAUUGGUGUUGAUUCGCCCAAAUCAUUGAGAGAAAGAAAAUUCAGCAAAGGCAAAGACCUCAAAAGCACAAAUCAAAAACUGUUCCAAUGGUCAAAAGACUAUGAACAAAGUUAGUAGCCACUUGGAAAGGUGACCAACUGAGUAACUGGGGGUGGGUAUCACAAAUAUGUACCUUCACGUCAAAAGGUUGGUGACUUUUUCAAGCAAAAUUAAAAGUGCAAAAAGCCUAAAUAAAGUACUUCAAGGUAAGGGCGAGUCACUCCGAAAGCUAGAAAAGGUCUUAACAGAAAUGUGCAUGUAUGGUCUCUCUUGAGGAAAACAAAUCCUAGCCAUGGUAAAUAAAGGGAAACAAGGAAAGAAGGUGAGUAAUCUUCAUGCAUAUAUUCUUCACUGCAAUGAUUCAAAAUAGGUGUCAAGAGUAAGAGUUUAAGUGGAAACAAGGAUCUAGAGCAAAGAAAACUUAUUUGACUAUGUUUAUUUGCUUGAGUACAAGCAAAAGGCUAAGUGUGGGGGUAUUUGAUAGAGCAUAUUUUAGUCCAUAUUAUCAUGAUCUUAUUGAUGUUUAUUUACGCAUUUCCUACCUAAUUUUGUGGUUUUAAUCAUGUUUUGAAGAUAUUAGGUGUAAAGAGACAUUCUGGAGAAAAUGCUCGUAAAACUGCCAAAAAGUGCAAAAAACAGAAAAGUCACCUUCGGAAGCACUUUCGGAAGCCGAAAGUCUGGUCCAGAGCCGAAAGUCACCCAUCUUCGGAGGCACCUUCAGCCGCCGAACCUUCACUCCAGAGCCGAAAGUCCAGCCUCCGAAACUAGACUUAGGCGGCCGAAAGUCCCUCCGAACAGCCUCCUCCUUAUUCAAUAAGCCAAAUCUUGAAGAUCACAUGUUUUCCACUUUAUGCCAUGCACAAUUAAAAUUCAAAUCAAGGCUCCACCUUCCUCUUUAGUGCAUGAAUAAUGUGAAGAAGGCUUUUUGGACACACUUGGACAGCAAUUAAAAGACCAAAAAGGGCUUGCAACUCCACACAUGCACAUAGAAGACACAAAGGCACUUUGGGCAGCCUCUAAAAGAUGCAUGAAACCCUAGGCAGCCUCUCAAGACAUAUUUAAGAUCCUUAUGAAGGCAAGAUGAGGUAGAUUUUGAUCCACACAACUCCUCCAAGGUUCGGCCAAGGCUCUCCAAGGCUUCUCCCCCUUGGUUCUUCAUCUUCUUGCUUUCUUUUCUUUUAUUUUCUAUUUUGGUUCAGCCAUGAGUGGCUGAAACCCUUAAUUCUAGUUGAAGUUUGGUUGAAACUAAGGUUAUUUAAAGGGUUGUGAGAUCUAAACAUAAAGUGUUUGCUUUUGGUUUGUUCAAUAUUCAUGCAAUUGUGUGCUCAAAUCUUAGAUUGCUUUGUUGUUUUGAUCAAAUUGGCCACUUGAUUCUUAAUUGCAAAGUUAAUUGAUUGUUAGUUGGGAUAUUUGUUAGUCCGUAAUUGCUGAAAAUAUUCUGACCUAAGAACACUUGGUGUAAAAACUAAGGAAUUGUAUGAUCUAGCAACAUCUCAUGUGGUUGAGUAGCUAGGGUUGGAUCUCUCUCUUUCUUCAUGCAAUUGACAAUUGUUUUGAUGCCUAAGGCCCAAGGACGUUCCUUGGCAAUUUGUUAAUUAGUAAUUGAUUAGAGGACGUUCCCUAAUUGAUUUAAUCAUAAGGAGAGACAUGGUGGUGAGAAGCGUUUUCCAUCCCCAUAACUAAUCUAUUGAACCAAUCAAGAAAACAUAAGUUUCAAUGAUCAACCCAAACAACCAAAGUGGAUCCAUAUCUUCAACUAAACUUUUCUCGUAUUGAUUUCCUCCUUUAUUUUAAUUACUUGCUGUUUUAAUUGCUUUCAAUAGUUGUUAGUCAAAUCAUCUCAAAACCCCCCUUUUUACUUUUAUUGCACUUUACUUUCAUUCAGCUUUCAAUUACUUGCUUUCAAUUGUGUUUUCACUUAGUUCUCUUGGUCUUGAUUGAGAAAAAUAAAUAGGUAAUCAAUUCUCUGUGGAUUCGAUCCUUCACCACUAUCUGCAGUUGUAAAUUAUUGAUAACCAAGAAGGUUAUUUUUGACCGGCUUCGACAACCGCGAGUCACUAAUCUUAAGAAAUGCACAUUUUGUACUAAUAGUGUCAUAUUCCUAGGAUUUAUUAUUAGUUCACGGGGAGUUGAGGUAGAUACUGAAAAGGUUAAGGCUAUCCAAGAAUGACCUACACCUAGGAAUGCUAAUGAGGUGAGAUCCUUUCAUGGAUUGGCAAGCUUCUAUAGGAGGUUUGUUAGAGAUUUCAGCACUAUUGCUGCACCUCUAAAUGAGAUUAUUAAAAAGGCUGUUGGGUUUAAAUGGGGUAAAGAACAGGAACUUGCAUUUAACACAUUAAAAGAAAAACUUACUGCUGCUCCUGUUUUAAGGUUACCUGAUUUUUCU
rnacentral:lncRNA from 1 species